AUUGAACGCUGGCGGCAGGCCUAACACAUGCAAGUCGAGCGAGCGGCGGACGGGUGAGUAAUUCCUGGAAGUUGCCCAGUCGAGGGGGAUAACAGUUAGAAACGACUGCUAAUACCUCAUACGAUUUGCUUGCCCAGGUGGGAUUAGCUAGUUGGUGAGGUAGGGGCUCACCAAGGCAACGAUCCCUAGCUGGUCUGAGAGGAUGAUCAGCCACACUGGAACUGAGACACGGUCCAGACUCCUACGGGAGGCAGCAGUGGGGAAUAUUCCGCAAUGGGGGAAAGCCUGAUGCAGCCAUGCCGCGUGUGUGAAGAAGGCCUUCGGAUUGUAAAGCACUUUCAGCGAGGAGGCGUUACUCGCAGAAGAAGCACCGGCUAACUCCGUGCCAGCAGCCGCGGUAAUAC
rnacentral:rRNA from 1 species